UACGUAGGGGGCAAGCGUUGUCCGGAUUUAUUGGGCGUAAAGAGCGUGUAGGCGGCCAGACAAGUCCGGUGUGAAAACUAGAGGCUUAACCUCUAGACGUCGAUGGAAACUGUUUGGCUAGAGUCCGGAAGAGGAGAAUGGAAUUCCUGGUGUAGCGGUGAAAUGCGCAGAUAUCAGGAAGAACACCCGUGGCUAAGGCGGUUCUCUAGUACGGUACUGACGCUGAGACGCGAAAGCGUGGGGAGCGAACAGG
rnacentral:rRNA from 1 species